GACGUAGGGCGCGAGCGUUGUCCGGAUUUAUUGGGCGUAAAGAGCUCGUAGGCGGCUUGUUGCGUCAGCUGUGAAAACCCGCAGCUCAACUGUGGGCUUGCAGCUGAUACGGGCAGGCUUGAGUUCGGUAGGGGAGACUGGAAUUCCUGGUGUAGCGGUGAAAUGCGUUGAUAUCAGGAGGAACACCCAUGGCGAAGGCAGCAAACUGGUCAUCAACUGACGCUGAGGCGCGAAAGCGUGGGUAGCAAACAGG
rnacentral:rRNA from 1 species